rnacentral:rRNA from 1 species
CCUACGGGAGGCAGCAGUGGGGGAUAUUGCACAAUGGGGGGAACCCUGAUGCAGCGACGCCGCGUGGGUGAAGAAGCGCCUCGGCGCGUAAAGCCCUGUCAGCAGGGAAGAAAAUGACGGUACGUGAAGAAGAAGCACCGGCUAACUACGUGCCAGAAGCAGCGGUAAUAUGUAGGGGGCAAGCGUUAUCCGGAUUGACUGGGUGUAAAGGGGGCGCAGACGGGGAUGCAAGCCAGUAGUGAAAGCCCGGGGCCCAACCCCGGGACUGCUCUUGGAACUGCGUGGCUGGAGUGCAGGUGGGGCAGGCGGAAUUCCUGGUGUAGCGGUGAAAUGCGUAGAUAUCAGGAGGAACACCGGUGGCGAAGGCAGCCUGCUAGACUGCAACUGACGUUGAGGCCCGAAAGUGUGGGGAGCAAACAGGAUUAGAUACCCUAGUAGUC